rnacentral:lncRNA from 1 species
GUUUACUGAAGUUUUCUAAGGGAGGCUGUCUCUUAUACCAAUGAGGAUGAGCAGGUCACCUGCCAGAACAAGCCCAGAGGUGGCCUUACUUGGGGUUUGCUGAUCAAUGACUCUGGAGCUAUGAGAACUCAGGGUCCUGGACUGAGUCACUCGGAAGUUGGGCUGUGUGGCUCCGCCCUGGGUUCCAGCAUCGUGCUGUGAUUUACUGUCCCUGACUCAACCUCCCCAAAGCUUACUUUCUUUUCCUCAGCCUGUGAUGGCCAAAAUCGAGCUGUUGGCAAAUCACAGUUCACACCCCAACUUUUCAGUCUUUUAGUCUCUAAUUCUUGCUGCUUCACUUCAGAGUCCAAGAACAACAGUGUAAUGAUUCAUCAGUCCCCGCUUCCUGCAAGUAAUCAUUUUCCCACGCUCAGUCUGGUCUGUGUGAUGCAGUUUUCUCAUCGAGUUGGCUCUGUUUGGGAAGCGGCAGCCACUACCUCCUGCAGAAGCUCUACCGCUUUCACACAAAUGAGCGAGUCCCCGCUUGCUAGCUCAAAGGAUCAUGCUCAUGAGCAGCUAUGGACAAGGUUGAGAAACUACCUGGAAGCCAGAAAAUGCCAUCUGUAUGCCACUUCAGAAUAUCAGUUGCCAGAGACUAGACCCCAGUAGCAGUGAUACAGUGUUUUCUCUGUUUGGAUGGACACAAGGGCUUUCAUCACAAUGGAAUGCUUAUGGAAUUGCAUGUUUCAAAGGACACUCACAUGAAAAUACAAAUUCAUUCAAAGUCAGGUUACAAUGAUGAAUAGCAAGGCUGCAACGAG